UCCCCAAUGACGUAAAAAAAUAAAUCUUGCAAAAAUAAUGAGAGCUACAAAGGAACCACAAUGGGAA